AACGAACGCUGGCGGCAUGCCUAACACAUGCAAGUCGAACGAAGCCUUCGGGCUUAGUGGCGCACGGGUGCGUAACGCGUGGGAAUCUGCCCUUGGGUUCGGAAUAACAGUUAGAAAUGACUGCUAAUACCGGAUGAUGACUUCGGUCCAAAGAUUUAUCGCCCAAGGAUGAGCCCGCGUAAGAUUAGCUAGUUGGUGGGGUAAUGGCCUACCAAGGCGACGAUCUUUAGCUGGUCUGAGAGGAUGAUCAGCCACACUGGGACUGAGACA
rnacentral:rRNA from 1 species